rnacentral:lncRNA from 1 species
CCCAAAAACCUAAACAUCUUCAGUAAAACAAAAGAAACCCUAGCCCCUUUCAGCCGCGCCACUGCUCUACAUGCCGCGUUAGCGUGCUCACAGCUCGAGGUCUGCUUCCCUUGCACCAAAAUGGAAAAAUCCACCUCUGUUGACCUUGCCAACGCCUGCAAAAAUGAUGAGAAAAGAACACAGAAACAGUAGUAGAAACGAAAGCAAACAGUAGCAAAAAAUAUAAAAUAUUGUAAUGAAAUCAACUAUAAAGCCAUAGAAACCAAUUGUAAUUGUUUAGACACAA